rnacentral:tRNA from 1 species
AGUCUUAUAUUCAAAUAUGAUUUAAAAUUGCAAAUUUUAAGGUGUAAAAUUUACUAAGGCUU